GGGGCCGUAGCUCAGUUGGGAGAGCGCCUGCUUUGCAAGCAGGAGGUCGUCGGUUCGAUCCCGAUCGGCUCCACCA
rnacentral:tRNA from 1 species